rnacentral:rRNA from 1 species
AUUGAACGCUGGCGGCAUGCCUUACACAUGCAAGUCGAACGGUAACAGGUCUUCGGAUGCUGACGAGUGGCGAACGGGUGAGUAAUACAUCGGAACGUGCCUAGUAGUGGGGGAUAACUACUCGAAAGAGUGGCUAAUACCGCAUGAGAUCUACGGAUGAAAGCAGGGGAUCGCAAGACCUUGUGCUACUAGAGCGGCCGAUGGCAGAUUAGGUAGUUGGUGGGAUAAAAGCUUACCAAGCCGACGAUCUGUAGCUGGUCUGAGAGGACGAUCAGCCACACUGGGACUGAGACACGGCCCAGACUCCUACGGGAGGCAGCAGUGGGGAAUUUUGGACAAUGGGCGCAAGCCUGAUCCAGCAAUGCCGCGUGCAGGAUGAAGGCCUUCGGGUUGUAAACUACUUUUGUACGGAACGAAACGGCUCUUUCUAAUAAAGAGGGCUAAUGACGGUACCGUAAGAAUAAGCACCGGCUAACUACGUGCCAGCCGCCGCGGUAAGAC